UUACGGCUAUAUCAUGUUGAAACGACGGUUCCCGUCCGAUCACAGAAGUUAAGAAACGUCGAACCCGGUCAGUACGUAGAUGGGUUGCCACAUGGGAAUAACUGCUGCUGUAAG